GACGAACCGUGCGAACGUUGUUCGGAAUCACUGGGCUUAAAGGGCGCGUAGGCGGGCCGCCGCGUCCGGGGUGAAAUCCUCCCGCUCAACGGGAGAACGGCCUCGGAUACGGGCGGCCUGGAGGGGGGGGGUAGGGGCAGGCGGAACGCUGGGUGGAGCGGUGAAAUGCGUUGAUAUCCAGCGGAACUCCGGUGGCGAAGGCGGCCUGCUGGAUCCUCACUGACGCUGAGGCGCGAAAGCCAGGGGAGCGAACGGG
rnacentral:rRNA from 1 species